AAACACGUGGGUACAGGCGGAUGGAAGAAAUGGAGCUGUGAGAGCGCCGGCGCUUUGAACUGCUGCGUCUAAUUGUUUUGCGUACUUGAUUUUGAGGUGGAAAUGUUACUUUUUAUGUACAAAAAUAAAAAGAAAGGAAGAAAUACAUCACAAUAUAAAGCUGUCCCCAUGCUCUUCUGGUGUGAACCUCACCUUUAUUACAUGUGACGUGUAUGUGGCAGUGCAGGAAGUGUGUUGCAAAGGAAAAAGUUGUAGGAUGACACUAUACAUAUCAGAAGAACCUGUGUCAUCAAGUUUCUGUGGACCUACUUGAAAUGAAGACCCUGAAAAAGUAGUCAAGGCAUAUUUGGAUUCAGACAUGGAGUCACAAAGUUCCAGGGAGCAAACUGUGAUGGGAGUGUAUGACAUACUGAAGGAGGGAGCGCUGCCUGACGAUGACCCACAUGACACUGGUGUCCGUAUUGAAGGUGUGGAAGUCCUGAGUGACUUGUUAUUUGGACUGAUACACUGUUUGAACCUGAGCAACCCACCAGAGCUCACAUGUACUUUUGAAUUCUUGCAGAAGAUCUUUCUAAAUGGACAGAGGUUGUCAUCCAAGGUACAGUUUCUCAAAAACAAGCUUUUGGAGUGAGCUUGAAAAAGACAAACAAAAAUCAAACAAAAUGCACUUUUAAGUAGUAGUUUGUUUUUGUUUGUUUUAAAUGGACUGAGACUAACAGUGUUUUGUAGUAACUGACUGAAGCAGCUGUU